GAGUGGUCGCAGACACCUCCUGGUGCCUGGGGCCAUACUCAGCCCUAGGGACACAAAGAUGAUUGCGGCCCAGCUCCUGACCACAGAAGUUCACAGCCCCAUGAAGAGAAGGUGAACAGAGAGACAACCACGGUGCAGCUUUUAAUGCGACGCGAAAGAAAUGGGUAAGGAGAUGCUACACGGACGGAGAUGAAUGAGAAGCCGGCCCCAGCUGGAGGAGGUGGCAUCUGGGUGACCCCCGCGGAUAAGGAGCCAUGUUUCCUGGGCAAACAGAGGAGGUGCCUGGUGGAAACACACAGCGAUGCUCUCUACAGAGAUCCGCGUUAAACCCAGGCUCCGGAGAAGCCCUCCGGACGCAGUUCCAGGGAGCGUGAGCUCACAGUCACUGCACUCGAGUCCAGGGCACCGGGUGCCAGCAAAGCCAGAAGGACCUCUGCCCGUGGGACCAGAUGGGAACUCCGCCUACAGGAUUUAUGGGAUGUAGAAUGUAAAAUGGUGGAAGAAAGAACAAGAUGCUCCUGGAAAUGUACCCGUGUACGUGGGCCUAGCCUGCGUGUGAACAUCCGAGAGCAGACAUGGAGGGCAGGGGUCGGAGCAGCUGUGUGGGUGCUGCCGGGGCUGCUCGUGGGACCCACGGGGGAUGGGAGGUAUCCGAAUCCCAGCCACCGUCCCACUGUGACUUGACCUGAAACUCUGAUCCUCUAGCACAGGGUUCUCAAGUGGGGCUGACUUUGUCCUCUGGGAGACACUUGGCAAGGUCUGGGGACAGGUGUAGACAGCUGGAGACACGGCUAGGGGGGGAAAUGGGAGGGAUGCCUCAGAGGUAGAGGCCGGGGGUGCAGGGCACAGGACAGCCCCUCAGGGUCCGAAAUGCCCAAGGGCCACGUCUGAGAAUCAUGGUGAGCUCAGCAGCCCAUGGUGGGGGGAACCUGUGCUCCUUCCUCACAAGGCUGUCACCUACAAAUGUGGCAGUUUUGUGCAGUUAAAGCAAAAUGUGGAACAAAUUGUAAAUAAACUGCUCAUCAAAGUUUUUA